GACGCGCUGAAGAGCACCGUCUCGGAGCUGACACAGCGUUUAGCCCAGCUGCAGCACCACAGGGACGAGCAGGAGGCCAACGUGGUGCAGCUGCAAGAGAACAACAGGGAGCUCCAGGAGAGGCUGGAACAGCAAGAGCAUCAGCUGAAGGAGGCUCAGAGGAGCAGGAGCAAUCUCCAGUCGCAGAUCUGGAACGCGUUGUCAGAGAUCCAGUCCAUACGGAGCUGGCGUUCGAGUGGGACCAGCGUGACGUUCCCUGGCGUGGCCGUGCCCCUCGUCCUCCUGGCUCUGCUCUUCGCAGGGACGCUGCUGCUUUGAGCACGGAGCUGGGAGAGCAUGGACCUGGCUUGUCGCCGUCCCCUUCCGCCCCCGCGGGGCAAGGAGGGACGGUUCCCAUCCUGCUGGGAUGGGGCUGGUGCUGGCAGCUCACGCAGUGCCUGGGUCGGGAGCUCCCACCAUGAGGACGUCGCGUGGGGACAUCCUGGGGGGACAUUCUGCAAAAUGCUGGCCCCUGAGCUAUGGCCAGGGCGAGACGGGGAUGGGGCAAAGGCAGGGGACAGAGACCUGGCACUGCCCCGGGGCUGCCUUUAAGCAAGGGGUUCGCAGCUACUGCGCAGUUGGGUGGGUUUGAGCCAUUUUCCAAUAAAACUGCAUGAAAACCCAAAGCGUUUUGUUGCUCCAGCAUCAGGACAGCCUCCCCGGCACGGCUUGGGUUUGUCCCAGCCGAUUUUACCCACGGCCGGGGCCGAGCAUCCUCCCACGCGCUGCACAAACCAAGCCUGCUAUGGGCUGUGACCUGCAAGAAACCACAGCCCAAAGCGGCGCUGGGCGAGAAAACCCGCAGGCAGCACCCAGAGCAACCCGGGCACACCCCGGGCAGCCACGAGCGUCCCCGUCCCCCUCCCCGGCAUGGACCCCGCGGUGCCCAAAGCCACGCUGAAGGUGCUGGGGCUGUGCGUGGCGCUGCUGGUGCUGGUGGCGGCGGUGACAGUCUCGGUGGCCGUGCUGCUGUGGCGCUCGGAGGCUCUGGGGAUGCUGCGGGGCUGCCGGGAGCGGGCGGCCAACGAGAGCCGGGUGCUGGAGCUGCGCCUGGCCGAGCUGGAGCAGGAUCGUGCCCGGCUGCAGCGCGCCGCGGCCGAGAGCGCGCGGGCAGAGGAUGCUCGGCGCCGGGAGCUGGCCCAAGCACGCGAGGAGGGCGAGAAGCUCAAUUCCAGCUUGGCGUCCUGCCGGGAGCGGGCGGCCAGGCUGGAGGCCAACGCGACGGCGCUGCGGGACGAGGCGCUGGCGCUGCGGCGCGAGCGGGCUGAGCUGGCCCGCAGGAACGCGGCUCUGCAAGGUGCGUCCGUCUGUCCGUCCCCUGGGACCCCAGCCUGGGCUGGUGACUCAGCCACGCACGCCCUGGGGGCGACGCCCGGCCGGGUGGCUCAGGUUUUGGGGUGCCCCUUCGCCCCGCAGAGGAGCUGGCACAGGGCGCAGAGCAGGCGAAGGGGCUGCGGCAGCGGCUGGAGGAGGCGGAGGAGCAGCGGCGAGCGCUGCGGGCACGCGGGGAGAAGUGUGAGGCUCGGCAGAAAGAGCUCGAGAAAACCCUGUGAGGGUCCCGUCCCUUUGCUGUGUCCCCCUGUCCCCCUCUGGGUGCCCCCCAGGGACGCGGUGUCCCCUAACACGGCUCUGCUCUGCCCGCAGGAGGGACUACGCGGCCGAGGCGGAGGCGCUGAGACGGCGGCGGGUGGGGUCCCGUACGGCCAGGCGCAGGUGCCCCCCUUCCCG
rnacentral:lncRNA from 1 species